AGGCAGCUGUGAAUGAAAGACAGCCGGGCGGAAGGACAUCGCAAGCGCUGCAAGGUGUUGGCACGCUCUGUGCACAAGAAUGUGACGACAAAUACAAAUGAAGAAGAAACAGAGGUGGAGGAGAGGCUCAAGUGUGCAGUGGAAGAAAAAGCCGCUGUGGGAUGACCAGGAAGGGGGGAAACCAUGACAAGGGCAAACGUGUCGGAUGGCGAAUGUUCUGCAAGCACUUCAAACGAGUCCCAGUUUAUACAUUUAUUCAAGUCAUUGAUCAAGCCGAACCAAUGGAGGGCACAAUUGAAACCAUACAAGAGCUCUCCUUCCAGGGAAUCCUAGCUAAGAUGAUGCGGUACAAUAUGAUAUGGCCGCACCGAACCACCCAAAAGCUCACUUUGUGCUCAACUGGCCGUGACCACGCUAACAGAGCGCCCAUCCAAGCGUGACCCAUUCGAGCCCAAUGCAUCCGGAUGAGUUUUUCUUUUUUCCGCGGAUGUGUGCUGAGAUCAAAUGCUUUGAGUGCCCGCGAGCGUGAGUCGGAUUCUUGAACUGGAUCAUAUUCCGAUGCGCAAUGUUUGACACGUGAUUACUCCCACAGCUGACCCAAUUAAUCAAUGAGACUAUUUCAAUGUUUCUCAACUUUUAUUGAGCCUAGGGAAAUAUUUUACAUAAUUUAAAAAACUCACAGGACAAUACCAAACCGAAAUACAGCUGUACUUUUUCAUCGCAGAGUAACGUCUAACUUCAUCGCGAUAUGUCGAUGAUACUAUCACAAAACUGUGAUUUAUGCGGUAAUCGAGAAAAUAUGGUUUGGCACAAUACGACACGGUGCACUGUCGUACGAUACAGUACCAUACGGUAUGGUAUGGUUGAUAUUUUAAAUUAAUUUUUUGUCCAUUUGUUCGCUCAAUAAUUGAUUGGGUUUGUUGCGGUAUGGUAUGGUUUUUUUUUUUCACCCUUGCUUAUUAAUAUAAAUGUGAAAUCAUUUCCCCUUCUAUUCCUCUCCCUUGUUUUAAAACAAAUUGAUGUAAAAUGUAGUGAGGCGCCAUAAUUAAUUGGAUUUUUUUUUUUCAAAUUCUUAUUUGUGUCACCGCUUGAUUAGAGGCUGUUAACGUGACGA